rnacentral:rRNA from 1 species
UACGUAGGGGGCAAGCGUUGUCCGGAUUCAUUGGGCGUAAAGAGCUCGUAGGCGGCUUGGCAAGUCGGGUGUGAAACCUCCAGGCUCAACCUGGAGACGCCACCCGAUACUGCCAUGGCUAGAGUCCGGUAGGGGACCACGGAAUUCCUGGUGUAGCGGUGAAAUGCGCAGAUAUCAGGAGGAACACCGGUGGCGAAGGCGGGUCUCUGGGCAGUAACUGACGCUGAGGAGCGAAAGCGUGGGGAGCGAACAGG